AACGGUAACAGGCCUUCGGGUGCUGACGAGUGGCGAACGGGUGAGUAAUGCAUCGGAACGUGCCCAGAGGUGGGGGAUAACGCAGCGAAAGCUGUGCUAAUACCGCAUGUGAUCUGAGGAUGAAAGCGGGGGACCAAGCAGCAAUGUUUGGCCUCGCGCCUCUGGAGCGGCCGAUGUCAGAUUAGGUAGUUGGUGGGGUAAAGGCCUACCAAGCCGACGAUCUGUAGCUGGUCUGAGAGGACGACCAGCCACACUGGGACUGAGACACGGCCCAGACUCCUACGGGAGGCAGCAGUGGGGAAUUUUGGACAAUGGGCGCAAGCCUGAUCCAGCAAUGCCGCGUGCGGGAAGAAGGCCUUCGGGUUGUAAACCGCUUUUGUACGGAACGAAAAGGCUCUGGCUAAUACCUGGGGCUGAUGACGGUACCGUAAGAAUAAGCACCGGCUAACUACGUGCCAGCAGCC
rnacentral:rRNA from 1 species